rnacentral:piRNA from 1 species
AUAAAAUGUUCUGGUUUCAAAAA